rnacentral:tRNA from 1 species
CGUAGUUCAGUCGGUAGAACGGCGGACUGUUAAUCCGUAUGUCACUGGUUCGAGUCCAGUCG